ACGGCUCAGUAACACGUAGUCAACAUAACCAAAGGACGUGGAUAAACUCGGGAAACUGAGGCUAAACCGCGAUAGAUCAAGAUACCUGGAAUGGUUUUUGAUCAAAAUCUAUAUGGCCUUUGGAUUGGACUGCGUCCGAUCAGGCUGUUGGUGAGGUAAUGGCCCACCAAACCUGUAACCGGUACGGGCUCUGAGAGGAGGAGCCCGGAGAUGGGUACUGAGAAAAGGACCCAGGCCCUAUGGGGCGCAGCAGGCGCGAAACCUCUGCAAUAGGCGAAAGCCUGACAGGGUUACUCUGAGUGACUUUCNNUACNAAAGUCUUUNGACACCUACUCGAGACCGGGAGAGGUUAGAAGUAUUCCUUGGGUACCGGUAAAAUGGGUUAAUCCAAGGAGGACUACCAAUGGCGAAGGCAUCUAACCAGAACGGUUCUGACUGUGAGGGACGAAAGCUAGGGGAGCAAAACGGAUUAGAUACCCGAGUAGUCCUAGCCGUAAACGCUGCGAGCAAGGUAUUGCAUCUCCCACGAGGAUGUGCAGUGUCGAAACGAAGGUGUUAAGCUCGCCGCCAGGGAAGUACGGUCGCAAGGCUGAAACUUAAAGGAAUUGGCGGGGGAGCGCCACAAGGGGUGCGGCGUGCGGUUCAAUCUAACUCAACACAGAGAACCUCACUAGGCCCGACGGCAGAAUGAAGGUCAUGCUGAAGACAUUACCUGACGAGCCGAGAGGUAGUGCAUGGCCGUCGCCAGCUCGUGCUGUGAAGUGUCCAGUUAAGUCUGGCAACGAGCGAGACCCGCGCC
rnacentral:rRNA from 1 species